rnacentral:tRNA from 1 species
GUGAUCUUAGCUUAGAUCUAGCGUUGCCCUCCGAAGGCAAAGGUCACACGUUCGAAUCGUGUCGGGUGCG